rnacentral:rRNA from 1 species
UACAGAGGUCCCAAGCGUUGUUCGGAUUCACUGGGCGUAAAGGGUGCGUAGGUGGUGAGGUAAGUCGGAUGUGAAAGCUCGGAGCUCAACUCCGAAAUGGCAUUGGAAACUACUUUGCUCGAGGGUUGGAGGGGGGACUGGAAUACUUGGUGUAGCAGUGAAAUGCGUAGAUAUCAAGUGGAACACCAGUGGCGAAGGCGAGUCCCUGGACAACUCCUGACACUGAGGCACGAAAGCUAGGGGAGCAAACAGG